rnacentral:snRNA from 1 species
GCAUGUAAGGGUGAUCUGCUUGCAACAUCUGUCAUCCACAUUGUCUGGCUACAACAUCUGUCACCCCAGGGAAGCUCCAGUUGAUUGGCCAGUCUGCUCCCGUCCUCCCUCACAACACUGCAUCAUUCCUUCCAAAGGCAAGCCCUCAUGAUCUUGUCUGGUGGAGGAGGACUGUCCUUAAGUCAGGGUGUAUGAGUAAUUGCACUCCCCUACUACAGCCUCCAAAUAAAUUCCCACCAUUAGUGUUUGCCUUUGGGGUAAGGGAUGGGCAAGAGAUUAGGAGGAGUUCCACAGGGAAGUUGCUCCUCACU